rnacentral:lncRNA from 1 species
GUAAAUCAAGGCUUCUUCAUGUACAAGUUCACCUCCAAUUCCUUCGCGUUCUCCUUGAAUCCCCCCGAUUAGAUUGGUUCUUUUGAUCAAUGCAAGCCGCCCAAAUGUUUGGCCUCUAGAGGUGAUCCACUAAGGAAUAAUACGUAUUCAAGAAGAUUGGUUUUUGCAAAAACCUAGUUUUCUUUCUCUAUAGAAUAUGUCAGUACUCUCCCAACUAUUGGAAGUAUGAGUAACUGUCUAACCUUAACUCAUA